GCCAGUGUGACGUAGUGGUUUGUGUGUUGGACUAUGACUCUGGACAACGGGGUUUGAUUCCCAGCUCAGCCA